CGAAAAUUUGUAAACGAGGAAAGUGUCCUUUUUGUGGCAGUAGGGAGGAUUUGGUUCACAUCUUCUCUCAGUGUGCACUCCCAGCAGCCCUCCAUCAAAGGAUAGCUAGCUUGUAUGGCCACCCCGGAGUUCCAUUCGACACCGUUCGGUUCUUGCAUCCCCUGCCUGCGCAGGCGGUUAACCAG
rnacentral:lncRNA from 1 species